GACGAACGCUGGCGGCGUGCUUAACACAUGCAAGUCGAGCGGAAAGGCCUGCUUUCCCUUGUGGAUUGCGGGUACUCGAGUGGCGAACGGGUGAGUAACACGUGAGUGAUCUGCCCCCAACUUGGGUAUAAGCCUGGGCAACUGGGUCUAAUUCCCGAUAGGACUGCAGGGUGGUUCCUGUGGUGGAAAACGAUUUUCUAGUGGUUGCGGAUGAGCUCGCGGGCUAUCAGCUUGUUGGUGGGGUAAUGGUCUACCGAGGCGGCGACGGGUAGCCGGCCUGAGAGAGUGGACGGGGACGUUUGAACUGCGAUAAUGAGACGACGAAUACGGAAGGCAGCAGUCGGGAGUAUUGCGCAAGGGGCGGAAGACUGUUGCCGCGACGCCGAGUGAGCGAUGCCGGGCGUGGGAUUAUAAACUUCGGGCGGCCGCGAGGAAGCGACCGGGUUGGAAGGGUGGUGACGGUAGUGGUAGAAGAAGCACCGGCUAACUACGUG
rnacentral:rRNA from 1 species